CUCAGGUGUAAGGACAGUUGACAGUGACGGCACGUCCUUGACCACGGUCACUGGCCCGGCGUGACUAGAAAGGCCCAAGAGUGCGGAUUUGUGUAUGAGCUCGGCAGCAAAUCUAAACCCACCCUCUGGGCUUCCAGUGCAGAAAAGAGCAACCGUAUCCAAAAACGCACCAUCUCCUGAGUUCCUUCUCCCCUCCAGAGAGCGCCUAGUGAAGCGAAAUCAAACCAGGGGCAAAAUCCUCACUCGAGACUUUUCACUGCUUCUCUCCCAGAGGAUGGGGAGCAGAGAGCCCACUCUUGGGAUCACAGGGUGAGGCUUAAAGAGGAUUCACCACCCCAAGUUCUUGUCUGUUUUCUUGUCAGGAUUCCCUCCUAAAUGAGAGAGACUUGUCCAGCUGAAAGGAGCCUCGGUGACCCUCGACUUCAGUCCUUUACUAGAAAUUGAGGUCUGUACAUGUGGCGUGACCAUUGGACAUGCACCAACAGUGGCAGAGCCAGGACCCCUCAGGUUUCUCUCCAGCACUGUUGGCUGCCAGCCCCACGCCAGCCAUUGUUUUCGAGGGCCGACACCAGCCAGAGGCUAAGCCUCUGAAUUGAAUCAAGUCCCCCCACCGAAGUCAAAACGAAAGCUGCCAACGAUACGCCGAGACAGGUGGUAGGAGGUAUGAAGUUUGGAAGAAGAGAGCAGGAUCCACUUAUUUUCCUUAAAUCGGGUAGAGAGAUGAAGACCCCUGUAUCAUCUGGCGGGGGCUGCCACGAAGUCCCACGGACUGGGGGGCUUCAGAACAGAAGUUAAUUUCCUCACCGCUCUGGAGGCUGGAAGUCUGAGGUCAGGGUGUCGGCAGGGUUGGUUUCCUCUGAGGUCUCUCUCCUUGGCUUGUAGACGGACGUCUUCUCUCGGUCUUCACACGGUCGUCCCUCUGUGUGUGUCUGUGUCCUAAUCUCCUCUUCUUAUAAAGACACCGGUCAUCUUGGAUUAGGACCUAACGACCUCAUUUUAAAGACUGUGCCUUCAAGUACAGUCACAUUUGGAGGUACUGGGGCUUGGGACCUCAGCAUAUGAAUUUGGGGGGGGGAACCCAAUUCAUCGAUAACAGAUCCCUUGGGGGUGGAGUUAAAAGACACAAUGCUGACAAAAUGCUCCUCGUCACCCACUCCACAUUGGUGACGAUCACUGGGGCAGAAGGGAGGCAGGUACCCUGCCUCAUCACACCUGAAUAAGAAUAAAACCUACAUU